UNGAAAGAGUAGAUGCUACUGAAGACCCAA
rnacentral:piRNA from 1 species